GACUGCUGUAGAAAAGAGCUCAACCUCAAGUUACAUUCCAGCUGGUGUUUGAAAUUGGAAUAUACUCAAAAAGGCCAUGAGAAUAUAACCAGAAAGAUGACACCACAAUUGUAUAGUUGUAAACAAUAUACACAUAUUCAGUAAAUAAAAAGAUUGUAGCCAACAAUUACACAAGAUAUACCAGGACAUCAGAGCCCUCUUUCAGUAAUAUCUGCAAAAAAGCAGCAACUUUUUAGCCAACAUGGGCAGUAACUCUAAGUAUCAAACAAGGAACUACAGGUGAGAUUAACUCUAAGUGUUAAACAAGGAACUACAGGUGAGAUUAACAACAUGGGCAGUAACUCUAAGUGUUAAACAAGUAACUACAGGUGAGAUUAACAACAUGGGCAGUAACUCUAAGUGUUAAACAAGUAACUACAGGUGAGAUUAACAACAUGGGCAGUAACUCUAAGUGUUAAUCAAGGAACUACAGGUGAGAUUAACAACAUAGGCAGUAACUCUAAAUGUUAAACAAGGAACUACAGGUGAGAUUAACUACUGGUGAGAUUAACAAACUAACAGAGACAUUUACUGCAUCUCUAGUGCCUCAGGAGUUUACAAGGCACUGUAAUAAAUGUUCUCUCUCUAUCUAUCUCUCUCUCUCACACACACACACACACACACACAACACACACACACACACGUAUAUAUAUAUAUACACGUAUGCACACACUCCUACACACAGCUGGAAGACAUCAUUCUCCUGGAGGAAUCAGUGUUUCCACACUGAGCUCCAGAGUGAGUUUGGCAGUGAAAAGGCAAAAGGGAAAUGGCCUCUCGUGUCCAAGCACAGGCAACAGAAACCAGAGAGAGGCAGGAGCAGGGAGGCAGGGAGGCAGAGAGUCAUCAGGACCGCAGUGAGUCAUGCUUAGAAAUGAAACUCACAAUGGACCGAGCUAAAAACAAACCCACUGUGGAUCGACAAUCAUAGGAAACGCAUGAGUAAGGGAAAGAAUCAGUUCACCAAGAGGGAAAGAUAUGUUCAUCCCAAAAAGAUGCUAUUUUAUGUUGCAGUGGUGUAGAAUUAGACUAUGUUUUCAGUGAAAGUUCUGCGCUAUGAAGGCUUAUUCAACGGCCAUCAUCUUUUCUUGAGUCUUGGUAAUGAACGCACUUGCAUGGAGAAAGCACACAGCUAAGUCAAUGACCGUAAUAUAACUUUCUCACAUGACACACCACAUACAGAUGGAGAUAAGAUAAGGAUAUUACAGUCAUAAUAGCGUGGGCAGUAUUUUAGUUUUAUAGUUGUCUAAGGUAUUAAGUCAUGUCAUCAUGUGAACUGUGCAAUAGCAGGACUCUUCAACCAGCACAGCAGGCCAUUGAGUGGGCACUGUAGUGCCGGUUUGGCCAGUGGAAUUUGGCAAACGCCAGUGAUAAUCUCAUCGCCCUCCACCAGGGUGCCAAGAGAGCGUGGGUGCCUAUGGUGCUGAUCUUCACCUGUGUGCCUGGCACGGCUAGCCCACCUUUGUCGACAUCGAGCAGGAAGAGCUCGCACUCCCAGCGUUCAUCCGGGGUUUGCAGCCAGAGGGACUCCGGGAGCACAUCCAUCCAUGUCCAUCUUUGGGUCUCAGCCACUGCGCUCCACAGUCCUCCAGCUGGUCUUCAGCGGGGGUGGACCAUGUCAGAGUCCCUAAGACUCUUCACCAGCGCCCCAGCUGACCUGGGUAUUGCCGGGACGUGGAGCUCUACGUCCACCGGUGCGUCCUGCAGGGCCCAGAAGGGGCCGACCCGGCAUUCUCACGCCCCCCUGCAGCAGUGCCAGCCGGGUCGCCCCCCCCUGGAGCGUGUGGGCAUGGGCCUCCUGGACCCCUUCCCCACCUCUGGCCAGGUGACUACUUCACUAAGAGUUCAAAGGGCGUAUGUGGUCCCCGAUAAGAGUGCUGCCACCAUCGCUGAGCCAUUGCAGUGCACCUGAGGGGCCACGCAGUGACCAGGGGCAGGUAGGUUUUCGAGGCUGGCGUGUUCAGCAAGGUCUGUUGGCAGCUGGGCAUCAAAAAAACUUGGACUACAUCGCUGCUAUACUCUGGUCACCCGGCAUGCCAUCUUGACCAGACGUUGGUAGUCGGACAGGGACUUGCAUCUGCCCCUGGUCCUGUGGGGCGGCGCACCAGACAGCAGUUCAAGAGUCCACAGAGUGUACCCCACAGAGUGUACCCCACAGCGUGUACCCACAGA
ensembl:lncRNA